AAAAAUCUAUUGAGUCUCACAUAUAAUUUUUAAAUUUCGGGAACGAACUAGUUUCUCCCAUGAACUUUGUUGUUGUUUUUCACUUUUUCAAAAUGGACCACGAGGUGGAUGCAGAAAAGUUAAACAGGAAAAGAUAAAGGAGCCAUCGAAGGAUAGCGUCCAUCUCGAAAAUAGUGAGGAUAUUUACCUAAAAUGGACGGAGAUGCAGCGUAAAACGGCGAUGGAGUGCGGCCUUAUCUUUCUUAGCUGAAAGAUUAUUCGUAAGCUGAAUAAAUCAUCGAUGGAUAUUCGGUUACACAUUAUCGGAUCGCACCACCAACGGCUUCGGCAUGGACGCGGCGGCCCCGGCACAUUCCGCUGCUUCUGCAUCUAAUCAUUAAAACGUUAACAUUUCUAUAAUUGUGUUUAUAAACAUCUACUUUGAACAAAUUUUAAAAUAAAAUUUAAGUGUUUUGAGGUUU